rnacentral:lncRNA from 1 species
GGAUAUGAGUUUAUAUACACAUAAGAUACCUCCAUUGAUAAGAGAUCUUUUAGAGUGAUACUAAAAGCAAAUCCGUGAGAAUUUGAUCCAAAACGAACAAUAUCUUUAUCAUUGUGAAAACUUAUGUGUAUAUGUGAGUGUUGAAUUCCUCUCUACAAAUAGUUUCAGAGCCUAUAGUUCAGGUUUGGUAACCGGGUUCAAACGAGUACGUCCCUCUAUGAUCGAGUGAAAUCCUAGAAGGUGAGUCUCAAUAUGGAGACUAAUGUUGAAUCCUUCCUUACAAACAGUAGAACCAAUGGUUCAGGAAACGAGUACGUCUCUCUAUAAUCGGAUGAAACCCUAAAAAGUGAGCCAUUGGCCGAUAACCUAAAAAUGAAUCAUAAGAGGUGAAGAAUAAAAAAUACUUCCU